CAGCCAACAUUCACUGAAGAGCACAUCAAGGAGCUCAUCUGGAGGGAAUCAGUGAAAUUCAAUCCGGAUCCACCCAGUCAGUAAUUCUUUCUUGAAUAAUGAUCACCUGAUAACUCCUGGUCUUGGGUGUACAUCUGGAGAGACACAGGAAGAGGGAAAGAUAAGUGAUUCAUAUGAUUGAUGAUACAAUGAGUGAAGAAGGGAAAUAAAGAGAAAUGAUGGGGGUGUAACGUGUGAAACUAAUAGUUGAGUGACGAGGGAAACGUUAGUAUUCUUUCUUAUUAGGAUAAUGUACCAUGAUACACCUCUUCACUUAAAUACAGUGUCUGUCCACUAUUCAGAUUAGUUGCUAUGUAUAGAAAUUCAGAAAGUUUCACUGUUGUAAUCUAGUCUUAAAGCAUUCAGGAUACAAACCAAAAUGAGUAAUCAUUAGGAAUCAAAUUGGUAGUCAGGGUUUAGGGAAACAAUUAUGAUGACAAAUAUGGUCU
rnacentral:lncRNA from 1 species